rnacentral:rRNA from 1 species
UACGUAGGUGACCAGCGUUGUCCGGAUUUACUGGGCGUAAAGAGCGCGCAGGCGGUCGUUCAAGUCGAGUGUGAAAGCCCCCGGCUCAACUGGGGAGGGUCAUUCGAUACUGAUCGACUUGAAGGCAGGAGAGGGAAGUGGAAUUCCCGGUGUAGUGGUGAAAUGCGUAGAUAUCGGGAGGAACACCAGUGGCGAAGGCGACUUCCUGGCCUGUUCUUGACGCUGAGGCGCGAAAGCUAGGGGAGCGAACGGG